UACGAAGGGGGCUAGCGUUGCUCGGAAUCACUGGGCGUAAAGCGCGCGUAGGCGGCUUUGUAAGUCAGAGGUGAAAGCCUGGAGCUCAACUCCAGAACUGCCUUUGAAACUACAUCGCUAGAAUCAUGGAGAGGUUAGUGGAAUUCCGAGUGUAGAGGUGAAAUUCGUAGAUAUUCGGAAGAACACCAGUGGCGAAGGCGACUAACUGGACAUGUAUUGACGCUGAGGUGCGAAAGCGUGGGGAGCAAACAGG
rnacentral:rRNA from 1 species